GAUGAACGCUGGCGGCGUGCCUAAUACAUGCAAGUCGAGCGAACGGACGAGAAGCUUGCUUCUCUGAUGUUAGCGGCGGACGGGUGAGUAACACGUGGAUAACCUACCUAUAAGACUGGGAUAACUUCGGGAAACCGGAGCUAAUACCGGAUAAUAUUUUGAACCGCAUGGUUCAAAAGUAAAAGACGGUCUUGCUGUCACUUAUAGAUGGAUCCGCGCUGCAUUAGCUAGUUGGUGAGGUAACGGCUUACCAAGGCAACGAGGCAUAGCCGACCUGAGAGGGUGAUCGGCCACACUAGAACUUAGACACGGUCCAGACUCCUACGGGAGGCAGCAGUAGGGAAUCUUCCGCAAUGGGCGAAAGCCUGACGGAGCAACGCCGCGUGAGUGAUGAAGGUCUUCGGAUCGUAAAACUCUGUUAUUAGGGAAGAACAUAUGUGUAAGUAACUGUGCACAUCUUGACGGUACCUAAUCAGAAAGCCACGGCUAACUACGUG
rnacentral:rRNA from 1 species